UUAGAAACAAUAUUCUGUUAGGGAGAAAUAAAGGUAUUAGCUGUUAAGUCAUACUUGAGUCACAGUUGUGAGGACCUAUCCUAAAAUAUCCACCUAAACAUAGCUCAGAUAAUACCUGCCACAUCCACGUGUCCACAUGCCAGGAACACGACCCUCACCGCCAACUGGAACCACCCGAGGAGUGAAAGAGAUGCAUAUCCAUAGAACAGAUCGCUUCUGAACAGGAAGAGGAGAGGCCUGUGAAUACUAACAGAAAGGCGUACUUGCAGGAGCACCUACUUUGUUCCAAGAACUUUUCUGGGCACUGGGGAUGUAAGAAUGAAAAAAAGACAAAUCGACACCAUCAAAAACUCCCUGCCAUCAUGGGGGAAAUCCCACUGCAAGUGGUUGAUUGACAUCUGCUUCCCCCAAUACAUAUAAGGAAGCUGCAGGAGAGCAGAACCAUAGCUGGCUUAUUCACCACUGGCCAGGUAGGUGCAAGGUAAGUGUUCUAUAAAGAUUUAAAUGGAUAAAGCAAUGCAGGUAAGUGAACAAAACAGCUAACAUUUACAUGUUUGUUUACUACAUGCCAGGCUCUGUGUGGUUGUUUUACAUACAAGAAUGAAUAAAUGAACAUCAAAAAUGAGUACUGAGAAUAUUAAAAACAUCUGAAUGAAUAACAGAUCUCAUCUUAAA